rnacentral:lncRNA from 1 species
AAGCCGCUAAAGUAGGAUGAAUCCAAUCAGUAAAAUGGGUUCUAUAGAAAGUACAUCUAUUCCUAAUCUCUAAUGGAAGUCAAAAAAAUUUAGAUUAAUCACUAGGUAUAAUUACAUGAGGUGAAAGUGCACAACUGAGAAAAUAUGUACACCUUCAGAAGAGAAAAAAGGAAUUGAGAUAAUGGUAUUUUGAAAGUGGAUAAGCAAUUGAUUGAUAAUUAUUGUUCGUGUAAGUUACACUUCCCGCUAUCGUUACGCCUUGUUAGCGGUGGAAA